rnacentral:lncRNA from 1 species
AAGAAACUUGAAGGCAGCUUCCACCGCCCUGGGAGGCUUUCUGGAGUUUUUGAUUGUUUGUUUUUAAUCGAAGUCCGACAGAUUUUGACCCCCACUGAGGUCCUCAACUCCGCUUUUUCGACUCCCAACAGAGACCUGUCCACUUGCUCCUCAACAAGCCAGGCUGGAUCAGCCCAACGCUGCAGUGUGGCAGGAAAGACUGGCCUGGCAAAUACCUGACUGUCGUUUCCUUAACUGUGGAAAUAUUCAUGGUCACAGCUUUCGCCUUGUGUCUGGGCGUUGUUGCCCCUUUGAAGACAGAAUGCAUUCUUGCGUCUCUGAGGCGCUCUAACAGGCUUAGGACGCUGCUCUCCUUUAGGACAAACCGACUGCCAUAACAAAACUGGUCACACAUCAGGAGCACUUCUAGGGGCAAGCGAUCUGAGAGACACCCAAGAGGCCUAUGGCAACCUGGCCCACCUCACUUUAGGCCCCGAGAUAUAUCCAAAGCUACACCUCCUUCCCCCCAGCUAGACAGGGAUCUCAGAAGUAUGGUUUCAGCCAUCAAAUUUGCUGAAAUUCUUGGCGAGUAAAGGGGCCAGGCUGUCCUGCGUUUUUAAACCGUUUUCCUCCUGCUCAAGCUGGGCAGAAAAGGAUGUAAAGAUGCGCAGUCUACCUUUCAGUUUAAUCACCCGCUACACACAUUCCCCCAAUGUCUACGUACGGCCUUGCU